rnacentral:lncRNA from 1 species
ACGCCAGUUUUUACUUGAUGCAAGCGACUUCAGUUUUGCCUCAUUAGCAGAUUUAUACUCAAAAGACUCGAUGUAAUCACAGCAACUCAUAUUAUCAUGCCAAGCUACAUUGCAAUUCAUGCAAAAAAGACGAUGACAUUUCACACAUUUUCUCUUUCCAGAUUCUUGAGAAGAAGAAGAAGAAGAAGAAGAUGAGGGGGGAGCUUGUUGUUGGAGCUCGGUUUUUGACAUCAAAGCAGAGCAACUAGAAACUGGGCAAUAAACUUUCUCUGAUGGAGGAAUGGAAGCUUCUUUUAUCAUUGAGCUCAUCAUAUCAUAUAGUUUUGGAUUCAAGAAACUUUUGCAGGUUUCAAUUUCAAGCUCAGAUUUGCAUUCUUCAUGUGGACAUUCGGGUAGCUUCCCUUGAUGCAACUUUGCUUCUACAUGCUUUCUCAUACAGGAAAAACAGUAUCUGUGUAGACAUUUGUUGACAGAAAACAUUUGGCCAAUGUAGGUGGAUUCAAAACAGAUUGUGCAUUGUUCAAGUAAUGUUUUCCUCGAUUCGUUUUCUGCUAAUUUGGUGGCGUGAGAAAGAAUUGCAUCUUUUGCAAGUUGAUAAGCAAACGCCAGAUUGUUUUGCUUCACGAGAAUAGG